rnacentral:hammerhead_ribozyme from 1 species
AUCCAUUUGACGAGUCUCAAAUGAGACGAAACGCACGUCCUUGAU